rnacentral:lncRNA from 1 species
UAUCUAGAUAUUGGAUGUUAAUAUUUUCUACAGUGUAAAUCUCAGGUCAUAAAGUUUAAAUGAGGAAGCUUUAGAGAAGAUCUGUACUAGUAAAAUCUUAUGGGUCCCAAGACCAUGUUGCACUCACUUCCACUCGGUAAGGAUUCCCUUGUGCCAUCACAUCCUUUUUUAUUGUAGAUGUGUUUUUCUUAGAUGAUUUUCUUUAU